UUGUUCUGCUGUUUAGAUUUGGAAUAGAAGAGUUCUGGAAUUUAUGUUUCACUAUGUUUACUUGGUAGGUACACAACUACUGAAGAAAACUACAAACUCUUCACUUCCAGAACAACUGUGUAUUUAGAAUACGAAGGAACUUCAUUUAUUGUGUGGGAAUAUCCUGACGUAUGUUCUGCUAAAAAUAAAAGCUCACCAAAAACAACACUGAAUUGUCCGACUCCUGGGACUUACAGAAUUAAACCAAAAGUAACAAUUGAGACAUUUGAGGAUAAAGAACGGUAUUUCCCUGCUUCUGACCAUUCUAAUUGUUUCAUGUGGUAUGUGACAAUAGCUUCUGAACC